rnacentral:rRNA from 1 species
UACGUAGGGGGCAAGCGUUGUCCGGAUUUAUUGGGCGUAAAGAGCGUGUAGGCGGCUUUACAGGUCCGUUGUGAAAACUCGAGGCUCAACCUCGAGACGCCGGUGGAAACCGUAAAGCUAGAGUGCGGGAGAGGAGAGUGGAAUUCCUGGUGUAGCGGUGGAAUGCGCAGAUAUCAGGAAGAACACCCGUGGCGAAGGCGGCUCUCUGGAGCGCAACUGACGCUGAGACGCGAAAGCGUGGGGAGCAAACAGG